CCUACGGGAGGCAGCAGUGAGGAAUAUUGGUCAAUGGACGCAAGUCUGAACCAGCCAUGCCGCGUGCAGGAAGACGGCUCUAUGAGUUGUAAACUGCUUUUGUACGAGGGUAAACGCAGAUACGCGUAUCUGUCUGAAAGUAUCGUACGAAUAAGGAUCGGCUAACUCCGUGCCAGCAGCCGCGGUAAUACGGAGGAUUCAAGCGUUAUCCGGAUUUAUUGGGUUUAAAGGGUGCGUAGGCGGUCGGAUAAGUUAGAGGGGAAAUCCCGAGGCUCAACUUCGGAAUUGCCUCUGAUACUGGUCGGCUAGAGAGUAGUUGCGGUAGGCGGAAUGUAUGGUGUAGCGGUGAAAUGCAUAGAUAUCGCGCAGAACUCCGAUUGCGAAGGCAGCGUACCGGCGCCGGACUGACGCUGAGGCACGAAAGCGUGGGUAUCGAACAGGAUUAGAUACCCGAGUAGUC
rnacentral:rRNA from 1 species